AUGGAAUAGUGUAUUCCAUACCCGAGCCGACCUCAUGCGUGCCGCCCGUCCGCACCGGUCUGCGUCCCACACCUCCGUCGCCACCCCACACCGUCCUCCCUAACCGCUCCUUCCGGCGCGCGGCUGUCGGGAUCUGCCGCGGUGGUUGCAGGCGAACCCGACGAAGCUGGUGGCGCGGGUGAAGCUGGUGCAGGAGGAGGUGGCCGCGCUCAAGGAGCUCUGCCGCGACCUCCUCACCCAGAAGCAGGUCCCUGCUAGGGAUUCAUGGUGGAUUGGGAACCGGUGGUGAUUCAACUCGUCAUGCUCGCAGGGGAGGACAAGGCAAAAGAUGCCAACCAGAUCCUCUUCUCGGCGGUCAUAUAGAUGAAGAGGAGCCGGUGAAGUCACUUCUGCUGCGCUUGGGUACAGUUUUGCAGCGAGCUUGUCGAUAACAACGAUGCUGUUCUGUUGCAUGUGAAGACUGAAACCCAUUGAGCAGUGAGUUCUUGGUUUGCGAUGUUGUUCUCUGC